rnacentral:rRNA from 1 species
UACGGGGGGGGUAAGCGUUGUUCGGAAUUACUGGGCGUAAAGCGUGCGUAGACGGUUAUCUAAGUCGGAUGUGAAAGCCCCGGGCUCAACCUGGGAAUUGCAUUCGAGACUGAAUAGCUAGGGUGCGGUAGAGGGAAGCGGAAUUUCCGGUGUAGCGGUGAAAUGCGUAGAUAUAGGAAGGAACACCAGUGGCGAAGGCGACCACCUGGACUGAUACUGACACUGAGGUGCGAAAGCGUGGGGAGCAAACAGG